AACAACGGAUCUCUUGGCUCUCGCAUCGAUGAAGAACGCAGCGAAAUGCGAUAAGUAAUGUGAAUUGCAGAAUUCAGUGAAUCAUCGAAUCUUUGAACGCACCUUGCGCCCCUUGGUAUUCCGAUGGGCAUGUCUGUUUGAGUGUCAUA
rnacentral:rRNA from 1 species